UACGAAGGGGGCUAGCGUUGCUCGGAAUUACUGGGCGUAAAGGGCGCGUAGGCGGCCAGUUUAGUCAGAGGUGAAAGCCCAGGGCUCAACCUUGGAAUUGCCUUUGAUACUGGCUGUCUUGAGUUCGGGAGAGGUGAGUGGAAUGCCGAGUGUAGAGGUGAAAUUCGUAGAUAUUCGGCGGAACACCAGUGGCGAAGGCGACUCACUGGCCCGAUACUGACGCUGAGGCGCGAAAGCGUGAGGAGCAAACAGG
rnacentral:rRNA from 1 species